rnacentral:tRNA from 1 species
UCCCUGGAGGACUAGUGGUUAGGCCACAGCACUAUCCCCACCACGACUUGGGUUCAAUUCCCGGCCAGGGAA